rnacentral:rRNA from 1 species
GACGAACGCUGGCGGCGUGCUUAACACAUGCAAGUCGAACGGAAAGUCCCGGCUUUUGUGGGGUGCGCGGGGUGCGAACGGGUGAGUAACACUUGAGUAACCUGCCCUUGACUUUGGGAUAACUUCAUGAAACUUGGGCUAAUAGCGGAUAGGAUCUCUUGCUUCUUGGUGGGGGUUGGAAAGUUUCGGCGGUUGGGGAUGGACUCGCGUCUUAUCAGCUUGUUGGGUGGGUAGUGGAUUACCAAGGCUUUGACGGGUAGCCGGGCUGAGAGGGGGACAGGACCAGUCGGACCUGAGCUGAGACACAGCCCAGUCCGGGACGCAGGAGUGGGGAAUAGUAUAUUAUGGGAGGAAGCAUGAUCUAGUAAAGCAGCGUGCGGGAUGACGGCAUUGGGGUUGUAAACUGAUUCUGCUUGUGACGAAGCGUGAGUGACGGUAAUGGGUAAAGAAGCACCGGCUAACUCCGUG